CCUUAGUUUAUCUUGAAUAGUGUCAUAUAAAACAAACAUUUUAAAUGGGUUGAAUACUAUAAUAAAGUCAAUAGUAGUGAUAACAUUUUACAAAGUUUUUAUCCUGCGACAAAAUACUAGUCUAAGAAGAAUAUAGCAUUCACCCACUAUGUGAAUGUGAUCAUAAAAAUAAAUCAAUCAAAUAAUCUCAUCAGUAUAAAACAAAGUAUAAAAAAAUAUUACAAAGCAUGUAACGAGUACUUACACGAGGCUUGCAACGCUUCUUGAGAGGGGCAGUUGGUACCUCAUCAUCAAUUUGCUGCCUUUUUUGGGGUGCUCCAAACUUUGCCUUGAGGGCAACAAACUCUUUCAUAUGCAUCCUAAGGCACUUCAUUUUGGUUCUCAAUGACAUUCUCCAACAUUUCUGAAAAUCAUAACUAUGAAAAUUAAAUUUAUGACUAUAAAAUGUCAGUAUCAUACUAGUGAUUAAACAUGUAGAUUCUAUUUUGUUUCAUCAUUUCAAUUCCAAUAAUGUUAGUGUCUAAGUGAUGAUUGGCACUACCUUACUACUCAAAAUAAAUUCACUUACAGGAUCUCCAAGGUAGUUUAAGGUUUAAGGUUGGAAUCGUAAUCACCAGGAGGUACCCUUUCGACGUGAGCAAGUCCUCUGUAUCGUUGAACUACUACUGCCACGACCUCACUCACCACACACCCCAUAUCCCUUCCUCAAGAGAGGACAGGUACCACUCCUAGUCAACGGAAAGACUCCGGACUGAGCAAGCUCGAACCGUGAAGCCUGGCAGCGCAGCGCUCUAACCAGUUGCGCCAUCCAUGUGGGGGACCCCCUAGAGAGGAGUUCUCCCAAGUUGAGGAGGCCCUGCUCGACCUUCUUUCUCCCACAGGGUAUGCAAAUCUGCCCAUUUCUGACAGCGAGGGUGGUUCUUUGAGUAAGUAACUUGAUUAACCAUUUUCCGUAUGUUUCUUUGCCUAUACAUAGUCUCAAAACAGGAAUUAAUAUUAGAACACAGAAAUGGCUACUAAUAAAAUACAUAGGAUAUAAAUUUUGUCCAGACGAACUUAUGUCAUUACGAAUAUUUUCCAUAUUUUUUUUUUUUUACAACAAAGGAGGCAGCUCAAGGGCACACAAAAAAAGAAAACAAUAAUAAAAAAAAAGCCCGCUACUCGCUGCUCCUAAAAAAGAAACAAAAGAGGUGGCCGAAAGCAAGAUCAAAUACGGGAGGAGAGAUGUACUGAUACCCUCCUCUUGAAAGAGUUCAAGUCGUAGGCAGGAGGAGAUACAGUUGAAGGAAGAUUGUUCCAGAGUUUACCAGCGUGAGGGAUGAAAGAGUGAAGAUGCUGGUUAACUCUUGCAUAAGGGGUUUGGACAGUAUAGGGAUGAGCAUGAGUAGAAAGUCGAGUGAAGCGGGGCCGCGGGAGGGGGGAAGGCAUGCAGUUAGCAAGUUCAGAAGAGCAGUCAGCGUGGAAAUAUCGAUAGAAGAUAGAGAAGCAACAUUGCGGCGGAAUUUAAGAGGUAGAAGACUAUCAGUAUGAGGAGGAGAACUGAUAAGACGAAGAGCCUUAGCCUCCACUCUGUCCAGAAGAGCUGUGUGAGUGGAGCCCCCCCACACAUGAGAUGCAUACUCCAUACGAGGGCGGACAAGGCCCCUGUAUAUGGACAGCAACUGUGCAGGGGAGAAGAACUGGCGGAGACGGUACAGAACGCCCAGCCUCGAGGAAGCUGAUUUAGUAAGAGAUGAGAUAUGAAGUUUCCAGUUGAGAUUUUGAUUUAAGGAUAGACCGAGGAUGUUUAGUGUUGUGGAAGGUGAUAGCUGGGUGUUGUCAAAGAAUAAGGGAUAGUUGUUUGGAAGAUUGUGUCGAGUGGAUAGGUGGAGAAACUGUGUUUUUGAGGCGUUGAAGGACACCAGGUUCUUCUUGCCCCAAUCGGAAAUAAUAGUAAGGUCUGAGGCUAAGCGUUCUGCAGCCUCCAGCCUUGAGUCGUUAAGUUCCUGAAGGGUGGGUCUUCUAUUAAAAGAAGUUGAAUAAUGCAGAGUGGAAUCAUCGGCGUAGGAAUGGAUAGGACAGUUCGUUUUGGAAAGAAGAUCAUCAAUGAACAACAGAAAAAGAGUGGGAGAUUGGACAGAACCCUGUGGGACACCACUGUUAAUAGAUUUAGGGGAAGAACAGUGACCGUCUACCACGGCAGAAAUAGAACGGUCAGAAAGGAAACUGGAGAUAAAGGUACAGAGAGAAGGAUAGAAACCGUAGGAGGGUAGUUUAGAAAGCAAAGAUUUGUGCCAGACCCUAUCAAAAGCUUUUGAUAUGUCCAGCGCAAUAGCAAAAGUUUCACCGAAACGGCUAAGAGAAGAUGACCAAGAGUCAGUUAAGAAGGCUAGGAGAUCACCAGUAGAACGCCCCUUGCGGAACCCAUACUGGCGAUCAGAUAGAAGGUCAGAAGUGGAAAGGUGCUUUUGAAUCUUACGGUUAAGGAUUGAUUCAAAAGCUUUAGAUAGACAAGAAAGUAAAGCAAUAGGACGGUAGUUUGAGGGAUUGGAGCGGUCACCCUUCUUAGGUACAGGCUGUGUGAAGGCAUACUUCCAGCAAGAAGGAAAGGUAGAUGUUGACAGGCAGAGGCGAAAGAGUUUGACCAGGCAGGGUGACAGCACGGAGGCACAGUUUUAAGGACAAUAGGAGGCACUCCAUCAGGUCCAUAAGCCUUCUGAGGAUUGAGGCCAGAGAGGGCAUAGAAAACAUCAUUUUGAAGAAUCUUUAUAACAGGCAUAAAGGAGUCAGAGGGGGGAUGAGUAGGAGGAAUAUGCCCAGAAUCGUCCAGAGUGGAGUUUUUAGAAAAAGUUUGAGAGAAGAGUUCAGCCUUAGAGAUAGAUGAGACGGCAGUGUUGCCGUCAGGACUGAGGAGUGGAGGGAAAGAUGAAGAAGUGAAGUUGGAGGAGAUGUUUUUGGCUAGAUGCCAGAAGUCACGGGAAGAGUUAGAGAAAGCAAGGUUUUGACAUUUUCUAUUAAUGAAAGAAUUUUUCGUUAGUCGGAGAAUAGAUUUGGCACGAUUUCGGGCAGAAAUGUAAAGUUCAUAAUUAGCAUUAGUUUGAAGGCUCUGGUAUCU